rnacentral:lncRNA from 1 species
AGUGGGGCCCAGAGAGCCUCAAGGCCGGGGCCUGGAAGAAGCAAGCCCAGGGCAGGUGACAUCUGCCAGAACCAGCUCCGAGGGUGCCCUGCUGGGAUUCCUCAAGGCAUUCAGCAGCAGGAUUUUAGACAGGGAAGGAGCACGAGCACUGCGACCCCCACUGCCAGCUCUCUCUGCUCUUCUGCCCUGGAACCAAUACCCAGUAUUGAUUCUAGAGGGGUGGGGGUGGGGGGAGAGACAGAGACAGAGACAGAGAGAG